rnacentral:rRNA from 1 species
GAUGAACGCUGACGGCGUGCCUAAUACAUGCAAGUCGAGCGAACGGACGAGAAGCUUGCUUCUCUGAUGUUAGCGGCGGACGGGUGAGUAACACGUGGAUAACCUACCUAUAAGACUGGGAUAACUUCGGGAAACCGGAGCUAAUACCGGAUAAUAUUUUGAACCGCAUGGUUCAAAAGUGAAAGACGGUCUUGCUGUCACUUAUAGAUGGAUCCGCGCUGCAUUAGCUAGUUGGUAAGGUAACGGCUUACCAAGGCAACGAUGCAUAGCCGACCUGAGAGGGUGAUCGGCCACACUGGAACUGAGACACGGUCCAGACUCCUACGGGAGGCAGCAGUAGGGAAUAUUCCGCAAUGGGCGAAAGCCUGACGGAGCAACGCCGCGUGAGUGAUGAAGGUCUUCGGAUCGUAAAACUCUGUUAUUAGGGAAGAACAUAUGUGUAAGUAACUGUGCACAUCUUGACGGUACCUAAUCAGAAAGCCACGGCUAACUACGUG